rnacentral:lncRNA from 1 species
UUUUACACAAGCGCCCUCUAAGGUCCCCUUUAGUAAACAUUAAAAUUAUAACAUAUACUGCAUGUCUCUUUAUUUUCCCUCUCUAUAUGCUAUUUCGUUUACGUGACUGGGUUUUCUCUCUACUGCGAUUACUCUCUACUGCGAUUACUCUUGUCCUCCGUUCGUUCUCCAUCCCUCACCGUCGUCGUCGCCGUCACCUUUUUCUGCUGCUGCGUUCACGUUCACUGAGUUAUCUGCGUCCACCGUCGCUGUUCA